rnacentral:lncRNA from 1 species
AAAAACUGAAGAAUAAUUAAUAAUUAAUCAGGUAAAAGCUUUGCACAGAGGACCACAAUGAACGCCCAUAAAUGUAUUUCGCUACAAGUUCAACAGUAAUGAAUCCACAAAAUAAAAAUCCCACGAAAUCUGGGAUGAGCAAAAGAUAUCCUGACAGAUUAUCCUAGGAGUUACUAGCUCAUCAUGAAGAGGAUAAGCUACACAGUCUCAAUAUUAGUACCCAGAGAUAACACUGAGUAAAAAAAAACCAUUAAUUUUCGGCAAGAAAUCAAAAUAACUUUUCAUCAACACAACCAUCUAAAAGCGCUCAAAGGUAAAGAAGAACGGAGGAAGACGAAAAGAGUUAAAAAUUUAGGAGGAAACUUAUCUUGAACGCCGCGGAGAAGACGUCGCCGACGAUCCACUUCCGAUCAAGUAUACCCCUUCUUUCUCCUUCGCUUAAAAUAUUUGCAUCAUUUUAUUCGCCUCGAAGAGCUGACCAAAACCCCCAUAACAAUUGCUUGAAAUCUCCGCCGUAUAGCUUCAUUUGCAGAGUUAGGGUUUGACCUUGAAUGUUUAUAUUUAAUUUGUUUUUGUGUUUGUUUGGCUUGAGGAGGAGAUUUAUAUGGUUUGGUUUGUGAAAAUUUCCGUUUAGGAUUUUGUGUGUGAUUUAAGAUCUCCGAUCUGAGACACUGGUUAGCCUUUUGUUGUUUUCGUGACCGGAUCUGUGAUCGUGAGGUUAGAAUAGGUAGGGUUGGUGUUUCGAGUUUAGACUUUGGGGUAGAGGUUCGCCGGAGAAGAAGGUGGCGCCGCCGCCGUUGGCCGGCCACCACCGUCUUCUCCGGCAGGUCGCGACCGAAGGGAUGGUCGGAAAUUGCAGAUCAAUUUCUUUCAUUUUCAAGUGAAGAGAGAGAAGGUAGGUUACAAAAUGAAGUUGUUCUGUUGAAGUGGGGAUUUAAGGCGUGGCCUUUUGGAUAAGUACGGUGGUGACAAGUGUCUCCACCGUGGACACUUGUCACCGGUUGUUUGAACUUUUCUAGUGGAUUCUAUGUGACGCUCAUGGACCUUUACCGUGCACUAGCAUAUUUAUCGUUCGUCCACCCUUGUUGACUUAAUCAAGUCACGAGAUCUAACGGCCUUUGAUUCGGAUGCACGGUUAAUUCGUUGACCAGGAGAUCCACUGGAUUCAUGGGCUGAGGCUGGGGCCUCCGAAUUGGGCCCAAAAUCUUGCCUUUUCGCACCCCUUUACUGUCAUGCAGUAAGCCCAUCUUUUAAAUACUACUUAUUUAUUUUCACCAAUUUUCUCUUCCCAUAUUUUUAUGUAAAAUAUAUAUAUAUAACUAUUAUUACCAUAAACUUAAUUUAGCUAUUUCAUUUACUUAACUAUUAUUUUAAAUAUUUAUUUGUAAAACUCAAAAUUAAUCAUGGAUUUGAUGCUUUAUUUGUAAACUUAAAAUUAAUUGUUAAUUUAAUUUGUAUAUUUGUUUGAGCCAUCAUUUUCGUAUAUGUUUAUUAAACUCAUUGGUGCAACUUCUAGGUCCGAAUGAAUCAUGUUCUAUCUCAUAUCUUUUCAUAUUAGCAUUCAUCAUUUAAUUAUCAUAAUAAAUCAUUAAAAUCACACAAUUCUCGAUUCAAAGGUCGAGCCUAUUUUCAAACACCCUUGUAAGCCGAUUGCUUUUAAGCAUCGCCAUCAACCUCACGUAGCUUGCUCUUGGGCUUUCUUACAAUGAGACCUAGUCGAUUAUUAAUUGACCGAUUAGAUGAACUAUUCACUAAAUAAAAUCCACUUCAUUCGUAAACAUAAAUUUAAAACCUCGAUCCAACAUCGAGUAUUCUUUAUUAAAAUUAAAUUAAAAUACCUAAUCACAAUUAGAUAUCAUUUCAUUUGGAAAUGAAAUAGGAGAUGGUUUUAAGUUUUCAACUCCUCUCAUCGAUUAUUUGAAUACGAGUUCUUUUACUCGGUUAGUCGAAUAAUCGUCAUUUCUAAUCCACUUAAGCAUAAUUCAAUCAAAGCGUUCUUACAAUAAAUAAAAAAAAUGAAAUGGGGAAUGGUUUUGAGUUUUCAACUCCUCCCCUCGAAUGUUUGGAUACGAGUUUUCUUACUCGGUCAGUUAAACACUCGUCAUUUUGUUAUAAACUUCUAAAACCCGAUUAAAUCAAAUUAUUUUCAUAAUAAGCUAAAUGAAAAGGGAGAUGACUUUGAGUUUUCAACUUCUCACCCCAACUGUUUGAAUACGAGUUCUCUUACUCGGCCAGUCAAACAAUUGUCAUUUUUUACAAAACGUACAACUUAGUCAAAUCAUUUUCAUAACAAAUUAUACGAAAAAGGAGAUGGUUUUGAGUUUUCAACUCCUCUUCUCAAAUGCUUGGAUAUAAGUUGUCUUACUCAGUCAUUCAAGUACUUGUCGUUCAUUCUAAAAUACGUCAACCAUACGCAAACUAAUUUUCAUAAUCACUCAGGUGAAAAAGAUGUUGGUGUAAGCCCUAGAGGCCAAUACCUUUUGGUACUUGUAUCGAAUUAUUUAUUAAUUAUAAAAGGCAUUUUCUUUAUUAUGGUUGAUUAAUAAAGCCCCUGGAAUAGAUAGUCCGUUUAAUGUAUUAAGUGUGACUUAAUCAUGAGAACACAUUAAACUUAAGAACGGUAUUCUUAAAGUAUCCGUAGUCGAGCUUUAGUGUGAAGUGGGAUAACAUUAAAGCAUUAAGACUAUUAUGUUUGUAGACUGAUGAUCACGUCUCAUGGAUCAUGGAUAAAAAGUUAUCAAGUCUUAAACAUAGGUAUGAAUAUUAGGAGUAAUAUUUAUACCGGAUUGACCCGCUAUGAGAAUACUAUAUCAAACGUUAUGCAAAGUGUCAUAAGUUAUUCUCAUGGUGAUAAUAGUGUAUUCCACUCUUCGACCUGAAACCACUAUGGACCCUAGAUGUAGAGUCGAGUGCUUUAUUGCUGAUCCAACGUUGUCCGUCACUUGAUAACCAUAAAGACAGUUAAUGGGUACUCCACAAAGCAUGCUGAGGGACAUGAGUGACCUAGAUGGAAUUUGCCGAUCCUGCAUAACAGGAUAAAUGUCUAUGGGCCCCAAUAUUGAACUGGACAAGGAUGACACGGUCUAUGCCUUGUGUUUAAUAUAGACAUAAGGGCAAAAGGGUAAUUAUACACAUAAGUAUUAUCACAAAAGGAAUUGUCAGAUCACAUGACAUUUUUGUGUUUGGGUAGCAGUGAUGUGUUGCUAGAUAUCGCUCACUUUUUAUUAUGUUAAAUACGUGAUUUAAUAUAUUGUCAACGCGCGAAAACCUACAGGGUCACACACAAAGGACGGAUUGAUGAGAGAUAGAGUAACUAAGGAAUACCGUAAGGUACGGUGCCCUUAAGUGAGUUAUGGAACAUCGUAAGGUACGGUGUACUUAAGUAGAAUACUAAAUAUGGUAAGGUACCAUGUGCUUAAGUGAUUUUGGGCAUAUUAUAAGAUAUGGGCCAAAAUACACUUAAGUGGGAUUUUAGCUUGAAGCCCACACAAGUGGUUCUAUAAAUAGAACCCUUGUGCAGAAGCAUUAAUUGCAGUUGCAUUAUUUCGUUUUUUCUCUCUCUCUCUCUCACUCAAAGCCUUCAUUCGUACCAGCUAGCACUGAGAUUGAAGGAAUCCGUUCGUGUGGACUGAGUAGAGACGUUGUCAUCGUUCAAUGUUCGUGAUCACUUCGUGGAUCUGCAUCAAAGGGUUUUAAUCGUCAUAAGAGAUUUGCACCAAAGGUUUCAAUCGUCACAAGAGGUAAAUAUUUUAUCACUGAUCAUGACCAUUCGUAAGGAUUUCUAAAGGAGAAAAUUUUAAUUUCCGCUGCGUUUUGGACCACAAUUCUCCUUCAAAAGAAAGUGGUCUAGAGUCUUCUAUUCCCUUUCCCGUUUAUUAGGAUACGAGUUGUCUUAAUUGAUUAUCCGAGUAUUCGUCAUCCAUUUAAAACACCUUAACUAUUAUCAAAUCCUUUGUAUAAUUAAAGAUGAAAAAGAAAGUGGUCUAGAGUCUUCUCUUCCCUUUCCCGACUGUUAGGAUACGAGUUGUCUUACUCGAACAUCCAAGUAAUUGUCAUCCAACCAAAAGUAUCUCAACCAAUCAUCCAACAUAUUAAUCCAACUUGUCACCCCCGUGUGGCCAAAACUCUUUUCAAAAAGACGCUGUUUAAUCCCUUCUAACGCGCAUAACAAACUAGUGCUCAAGCCUCCGCCGAGAGUAGACAAGCCAAAAUUUAGCCUUUAAAAUGCGAUCUAAACAGAUGUUCAUUAAAAAACACACCAACCAACCGUAGUUCCCCGAACUAUAAAUGCUCUGAUUUCCUUAUUGCACCAUAAGGAUAAGUAGGCAAGAGAUUGUUGUAUCUUCGCGAGCACACUAAUAAAAAACCUCCCAUUUCCCCCUUCUGAGGUCUUCAUCCAUAUCUAUUAUCAACUCUAAUUACUCGAAUAAAACAAACAAACAUAAAUUAACACUCAAAUCACAUAAUUGAACUAAAAGGUUUCCGUUGAGUACAACGAACGUGAAGGGUGCUAAUACCUUCCCCUUGCGUAAUCCACUCCCGAACCCGAAUAUGGUUGCGACGACCAUUAUUCUUAUUUUUAAAGGUUUUAUCGCUAUUUUCCUAUUCCUUCAUGGGAAUGAAUAAAGUUCGGUGGCGACUCUUUUUCGAACUAAACAUUUUUCCGCGUCCAUCGCGAGGGAUCACAUUUUUUUUGAGGUGCGACAGAGGGCGACUUUGCUGGGGAUUAGCUCCAAGCAAAAGAGAGUGAAGCCUAAUUUAGUUCAGUUGAUGUAUUGUGUGUUAAUUUUGUUUAUUUGUUUUUUAUUUAUCCUGUUAUAAUUAUUGUCUGGUGUUUUAUUGGCUAUGUAUUAUUGGGGUUCUCUGGUUGGUGAUACUUUGUGAGAUAGGCUCUCCACCCGAGUCUGAGAAAAACCAUAAGAUUAAGUUGGUGGUUGCGUAGUGAAGAUAGGCUCUCCACCCGAGUCUGAGAAAAACCAUAAGAUUAAGUUGGUGGUUGCGUAGUGGACGCCCACAAGGAGUCUUCCUUGUUGGGAAGAUACGAAGACCCCGCCUAGAGGAGAUUCUCUUGAAAUAUUAUUGCCCGACAAGUUUUCGUCACGAUGAUAGUAUUCUCAAGUUGGAUCAAUGACUCUAGGGACCUUUAUACCCACUAUAUCUGGCGGUUAUGUAAUAUUUACAUGAAAAGUCCCAAACUUAUUGGGUUAAUAUGAAAGCCCCAAUCAGAUGAGAUCCCUUAGGCGUAUUACUACCUUACAGUAGUAUUUCCAAUCUCGAUCUAUGACUCUGAGAACCUUAUUAGAACCUUGGACUCAAGAGUUGUGUAGUAUGGACCCACUAGGAUUUUUCCUCUUUGGGACCAUACGAAGGCCUCACCCAGACGAGACUAUUUUUGGGGAUGUUAUUGGUGGAUGAGCUUUCGUCAUGACAAUAACCUUCGUAAAUAGUGAUUGAUGACUUUGUGAACCUCUUAAAUUUAGCAUUAUUCCAAAAGGGUUUUGUUUAGUAACCAAGGAUACCCAUUCUCAAGGCUUGUGUGUUGACCUACCUGUGGCAUGCAUAACAUCAUUCAUAACAUGACAUUCAUAUUAUUUUAUUUCCAAGGAAUCUGAGUAUCAUAAGUUGUAGGAAUUCAAGAAGCUUGGAAUCAAGCAAAAGAAACAUUCACUCUUUCAAGUUUAAAGACCCCGAUCUAAGGAGAUUAUAUGACUUGGUCUCUCAGAUGCACCCGGUGUACAUAAUCAACUUUGGAAAGAAUUAUGGAAAUCUGCUCAACAUCCUCAACCAACGAGUGGACCAUACAACUUUAGUCACUCUAGCUCAAUUCUAUGACCUACCUUUAAGAUGUUUCACAUUCCAAGACUUCCAGCUAGCACCAACUUUGGAAGAAUUCAAGCGUCUUGUUAGGAUUCCUAUGAAGAACAAGCCACUAUUUGAAGGGAUAGAUGAAUCUUUGCCCCUUGAGAUCAUUGAUAGCAUGCUUCACAUGGACGAAAGGGAAGUAGAGGCUAACCUAGAGACCAAAGGGAAUACCAAAGGAUUUUCGCUAAGUUUUCUCUUGGAAAGAGCCCAUACCCUACUAAAAGCAGAAAGUUGGGACGCUUGUUACUCAGCUAUUGUGUUGGCCAUCUAUGGAAUCGUCCUGUUCCCAAAUAUGGAUGGUUUCAUAGACAUGGCUGCUAUUUGCGUUUUCCUUACUGGAAACCCAAUACCCAUCUUGUUAGCUAAUGUUUACUAUUACAUGAGCCAUAGGUACACCAAGAAGAAAGGGGUGAUUGCUUGUUUUGCUCCUUUACUAUAUCAGUGGUUUCUUGAGCAUCUUCCAAAGACAGGUGUUUGGGUAUAACAGACAGAUGUUAGUUGGCCUCAGAAAUUGGGAUCACUCCGAUCCGAAGAUCUUUCUUGGUAUUCCAAAGAAUACAUCAACAUGGACAUCGUAUUCAGCUGCGGAGAUUUCCCUAAUCUACCACUAAUUGGAACUCAAGGAUAUGUGAAUUCUAACUCGGUUCUAUCACUAAGACAACUUGGCUACCCAAUGGAAGGCCCUACAAAGGCAAGGUCUUUGGAAGCUUUUUUGUUGCUUGGCUUUAGGUUUGAGAAUCCUAGCUUGUUCCAACGAAUCAAAGAGGCUUGGAAGAGUGUCAAUCGAAAAGGGAGAGCUGAUUUGGGGAGAGCUAAUGGGAUUACAAAAGAACCAUAUUUUCAUUGGGUAAAGGAAAGGGUGGAGAUGAUCAAAAUGCCAUUUGUCACUCAGACACCUGUACCUCUUCCUGAACCUAAGCUCACCCAUGUCCCUAUUGAAGAAGUGGAUGUACUCAAGACCACCAUGGAAAAGUUAGAAAGAGAGAAUGAAGAGUUGAAGUUAAAACUCCAACAAGUCAUCAAUGAGAAAAACACCAUGAAGUGGGAGCUUGAGAGAAUGGAUGUACAACUUCAAGCACAUGUGGAAAAAUUCAACAAAGAAGAGCAUAAGAGGAAAAAGAUCAAAGUGGGACUAGAACAAGCUGACCAUUGUCUAGAUACUCUUAAGGGUCAAUUACGACGAGCCCAGAAAGAAUGUCAAGACAAUGAGAAUUGGUGGCAUCUGGCCACAAAUGAAAACAAGACGAUAAGAGAUACACUUGGGGAUCAUAUAAAAGAACUCACCAUUUCUGUUCGUCAUGCAAAGGCUGAAGCGAAUCAAGAACGUCGACUCAAAAAUAUAGCCACCGAAGCUUCUAGAGUUUCACCCAUGAUAUGGGAGGAGAAGUGUCGAGAAAUGAGAGACGCAAAAGAGUCUGCCAACUAUUGGAAGAGCCAGCUAGAGUUAUUACACCAAGACAACUCCAUAUGGUUGAAGGAACGAGAGUAUGUAACUGAAGAUUAUGAAUCCCUUAAGAAGACCAUAAACUUCUUGCAAGGAGAUAGGGAUAAGUUUCGUGCAAAGAUCGAUGGGCUAGUGGGGUUCUGUAAUUGGGCGGUUAAAGAAUUAUCAUGGAAGUUAAGAGACACAGUUGAAGAGUUGAAGGAAGAUAGCACACCUCCAACCAUAAUCAGUUUUAUUUUGCUCUGUAGAGGGUUGCUGAAGAGAUUCAAGGAAGAACUAGAAGAGCUCCAAACCAGAAAGCCUGCAAUUUAAUUUUCCUAUGUCUUAUAUUUUGUUCCUUUGACAAUGUAUUUUGAACUAGGGCCUUUUUGGACCCCUAUGUUAUGUACUUGAAUGAUUGACGUUUAAAAUUACUCCAUUAUUGCUAUUCUAAGUAUUUCUUGUUUCUUAGAAUUACUAACUGUCGCACCUCGAAAAAAUGCGAUCCCUCGCGAUGGUCGCGGAAAAGUUUGUGUUCGAACAGAGUCGCCACCUAACUUUAUUUAUCCCAAUGAAGGAAUAGGAAAAUAUCGAUAAAACCUUUAGGAAAUGGAAUAAUGGUCGUCGCAACCAUAUUCGGGUUCAGGAGUUGAUUACGCCAGGGGAAGAUAUUAGCACCCCUCACGUCCGUUGUACUCAAUGGGAACCUUUUAGUUUGAUUUUGCGAUUUGUAUGUUAACUUAGGUUGUUUGUUAUCUUCGGGUUAUAAAUAUAUUGAAAGGAGAUGGAUGGAAACCUCAGAAUGGAGAAAAGGGAGGUUUUUUAUUAGUGUGCUCGCGAAGAUACAACAAUCUCCUGCCUACGUAUCCUUAUGGUGUAGUAAGGAAGUCAGAGCAUUCGUAGUUCGGGAGACUACGGUUGGUUGGUGUCUUUUAGUGAACAACUAUUUAGAUCGUGUUCUAAAGGCUAAACGCUGGCUUGUCUACUCUCGGCAGAGGCUUAAGCACUAGUUUGUUAUGCCCAUUAGAAAGGAUUAAAUGGUUUCUUUCUGAAAAGAGCUUUGGUCACACUGGGUGAAAAGUGGGAUUAAUAUGUUAGAUAUUUUGAUUGGUUGAGAUGUUUUUAAUUGGAUGACGAUUACUCGGAUAGUCGAGUAAGGCAACUCGUAUCCUAACAGUCGGGAAAGGGAAUAGAAGACUCUAAACCACUUUCUUUUUCAUCCUUGAUUAUAAAAAAAAUUAUAGUAAUUAAGGUGUUUUGAAAGGAUGACGAAUACUCGGAUAAUCGAGUAAGACAACUCGUUUCCUAAUAAUCAGGAAAGGGAAUAGAAGACUCUAGACCACUUUCUAUUUCAUCUGAGUAUUUAUGAAAAUAAGGUUGUAUAUUGUUGACGUAUUUUGGAAUGAACGACAAGUACUUGAAUGACUAAGUAAGACAACUCAUAUCCAAGCAUUUGAGAAGAUGAGUUGACAACUCAAAACCAUCUCCUUUUUCGUACAGUUUGUUAAGAAAAUGAUUUGAUUAAGUUGCGGAAAAUGAAAAUUGUUCGAUUGACCGAGUAAGAGAACUCGUAUUCGUCCAAUUGAGGAGUGAAAUUGAAAACUCAAAGUCAACUCCCUUUUAAUUUAGCUUACUGUGAAGAUAUUUUGAUUUAAUCGGGGUUUAGAAAUUUGUAGAGGAAUGACAAUUAUUUGACUAAUCAAGUAAGAGAACUUGUAUUCAAAUAAUCGAGGAGAGAAAUUUAAGACUCAAAGUUAUCUCCCUCUUUAUUUCUUAUUGUAAAAGAAUUUGAUGUAUUUGUUCUUAAGUGGAUUAGAAAUGAUGAUUAUUCAAUUAAUCGAGUAAAAGAGUUCGUGCUUAAAUAAUCGAGGAGAGGAGUUGAAAACUCAAAACCAUUACCUCUUUUAUUCCUAAGUGAAAUAAUGUUUAAUUAUGAUUAGGUAUUUUAAUUCUUAAUAAAGAAUACUCGAUGUUGGAUCGAGAUUUUAAAUUUGCAUUUUAUGAAUGAAUUGAAUUUAUUUAGUGAAUAGUUCAUCUAAUCGAUUAAUAAUAACCGAAUAGGUCUCAUUGUAAGAAGGCCCAAGAGUAAGCCAUGUGAGGUUGAUGGCGAUGCUUUUACAAGCGAUCAACUUACAAAGGUGUUUUGAAAAUGGGCUCGACUUUAAAUUGAGAAAUAUGUGAUUUAUUUUUGAAAUUGGUUUAAAUGAUUUUAAAUCGGUGAAAUUGACAUAACCUUCCCACAAUUAUAACAUGUCAUCCAUAUGCACUUGAGACUCGGUAUAAAUAAAUAAAUACAAAAUAAUCAUGCACAUACCCUCCAUAAAAAAACAAACAAUUAUCUAAAUUAUAAGUGACCUUAAUAAUAAUAUAAUUAAUUGAUUAAAUAUUUAGUAGAUUAUUUUGAUUAAAUAAUAAGUAAUUAAAAAAUGAUGAUAUAACCAAAUAAUUGCAUAUUUACCAUUAAAUAUUAAUUAUAAUAAUAACAAUAUAAUUGCAUAUUUACUAUUAAGUACUACUACUACUACUAAUAAUAUAUAAUUAUAACUUUGAAAGAAAGUAAAUAAAAUAAAAUAUUGCUUUUUAUUUGAUAGCCAUAAAAUUCUAGUGUAUAUUUUUUAUAUGUAUAUAAAUAAAAGAAAAUAAGUGAAUAAAUUAAAAAAAAUAAAGAAAAUGGGCCAAGCAAGAGAAGAGCCCAACUCUGGGCGCUGCUGGAAAUAGAACAGGGGAUUUAUUAGCAAAAAAUCUUUGGGCCCAACCCUGAGUUGGCCCAAAACGAAACCAUCAAGGCCCUGAAUGGCUUGGUCAAACAUUGACCUCCUAUGGAGAUGUUUGGGCCCUUAGAUCAGUGGACUAUGACCUGGUCAACGAAUCCAAAGGGAGGCUUGUGAGGGCGCACCAUUAUAUGGUGGGGGGAUCCACACAGGAUCCCCUGGUUGACCUAGGAGUCAACCAACCAUGUGGCGCUAGCAGAAAGGGCCAUGUGGCGCCCAUGCAGCCACUCUCAUUUGUAUAUAAAAACAAAAAAUUGAGAGAGAAAGCCAUUUGCUCAUCUCGUUCUCUCUCUUCACUCUUAAGAAUGAAGUUGCUUUUCAACUUCCUUUUCUUCUCCAUCACCACCCCUCACGGCCAAACCUGCCGAAGAAGACGGUGGCGGUCGGCCAACCGCGGUAGCGCCGCCCUCUUCUCCGGCGACUCUCCACCCAAAACCCAAACCUUUAAACACGAACCCCACUUGUUUUUGGCCGGUGAUUUCAAAUUCGGCCUUGUUUUUCUACGAAUCCUUCUCAAAUGGCCGGAUCGAGGCCCUCCUUCAAAACACAAACCUAAAACCUAACCCUAAACUCUCUCUCUCUCUCUCUCACGCGGCCAACACACCCUAGUUCAUCAUAUCCUAAAUACCAACCAAUAUCCUAACCCUAAACUUUGAGUUUUAAGACUCUACAGUUGCGCUUUGAAGAAAAUAAAAGAGGGAUUUCAAUCCAUGUGGAAAAAUGAAGAUGAUGGUACAAAUGAUUUAAACGAGAACGAAAAUUUUACUUGGUUGGAGUUAGACGCCGACGACGUCUCCCCACCGUUCAAGAUGAGUCUUUUUUUCUUCCUUUUUAUGCUCUUUGUCUUUCUCUAUUUUCGUUUUGAAUCAUGUUGUUGUUUUGUUUGAAUCUUAGGGUUUGGAUUUUUUAUGAAUUAUUUUUUAUUGUUGCUUUCUUGGAUUUUUCAGAAUGUGUUGUUCGUUUGGUUUGAGGUUAAUAGAGAAAAAUAUUUUGAUUGUUUUGUCUUGGAUUUUUUAAAAACGUUCUUACUGUUAAUUUUGUUCUGGGUAUUUAUAUGUUGAUUUUUAGAUCUUAAGACAACUUGUUAAGUUAUCUCUUCCAGAUUUCAUGGGAUAAUUAUUCUAUGGAUUUAAGGUUGUCUGGAUUAGAUAUUGGAACACAUCCUUGGGUGUUUACUUUGGUUUACUGUGCAAAGAAUUAAUCUGUCCCUCUUAUCAAUUGUUUUUCAGUUUUUUAUAAGUGCUUAUUUGAUAAGCUCUUCUUAAUCUUUGAAUUGGUUUUGCAGGUUUUGUAAAAGGUGAAUGGACAUUGAUUGAAAAGGGGGCCUGCGCUUACUUUAGGGAUUGGAAUUGGGCGCUGUGAAUUUCAAAAAGCUUUUGGAAAAGUCUUUGAAGAGCUGCUUCAAACUGCUGUAUUCUACCGUUUGUUUCCAACUUUUUCAACUUUAUUUAGAUGUACUCAGAACUUUUGGACAAUGUAUAAGAAUUUGGGGACUGUUUGUAAUACGUACAAAUUUAAUUUGAAACUUAUUUUUUGGAUAGUUAUAUAACUAUUUUGGAUUAUUUGGAAUUUGGAAUUAAUUAUGUAACUUUGGAUUAUUGUGAAUUUCUUGGACUAUUUGGAAUUUUGGACUAUGCAUCUAAUUAUGCAAUUAAUCAUUUUUAACAUUUUAAAUCUUGCCUUAACAAUUUAAUUGUAUUAAUCAAAAGAAAGUUUAAACUAUAUCUCGAACUGAAAAUGGAUUGGGCCAAAAUGCAAUUUAAUGGAUUUUUAACUUGGUCAACUUUAGCACAUUAAUAUUAACCAAAAUAAAAUGUGCCAAAAGGCCUAAAAUAAAACAUGUCACAAAAAAUAUUGCAAUUUCAAACUUUGAUCAUAAAAACCAAUCAAAUACUCAUACAUGUGGUAUCUUGAUCUAAACCAACAUACUUAUACUUAGAAAAGAUGCAAGUUUAGUUUAAGGUUUUUUAUGAAUGGUUUAGAGAUUUGGCAUAUAUAUUUGAGAUGUGCAAAUGAGUUUAAUGACAAGUGAUCAUAAUCAUGUCUCUUAAUACUUACUGAUAAUCAAAUGGACUUUGGAUAAGUGACGUAAAAAGAUUUGAACCACACUUUUCAAUAUUAAUUAUGGACAUGUCUAUGUGAAUGGGCCUUUUGAAACAAAGAGAUCUCAUGGAUAAACCAAAAUGGGCCUUGUUAACCAAAAAUGCACAUACCAUCCCAUGCUUUAGUAAGAGACAAAUGCAACAGAUAUCUUCUUAAGGAUCUCAACAGAUAAAAAUGUCAUUGAAGACUUGAUGUCACCAAGGACUGAAAAACCCUAAAAUAGAACCUACAUCUUAAGAUAAAAUUCAUGUUAUAACAUUGGGUAGUGAAUGCAGGUUGAAGAUUUUUCCUUACCCGGACAAAAUUAGGGUAUGACAGCUGCCCCUAUUUAAUUAUCUCGAACCGAAAAGUAAGAAUGAUAGCAGUCUUCGUGCAUUCGCGGUGGGAGAUAAUUAAAUACAAAAAGACCCAAAUUUUGUCCUAGGAAAUGCAAAGAAGAAAAUAUAGGAAGAAAAUGCAGUGAGAAAUGGUAAAAGAAAUUAUCCUACAGUAAAAUGGAACAGUCAAGACCUUCUGAGAGUUGUCAGAACAGUAUCUUGGACAUCUCAGUCGAGAUAUGUUAGUAAUGGAAUGACAUCCCUAGCUAAACCUUAAGACUUUUUCUAGGAUGCUAGAAUAAUAUAAAGAAAAUCUGGCAUGAGACUCUUCAUUUUGAUGAAGCAGCAUCUCAAAUAGUAAAAAUGAGAUUCUCUGUAUCGGGUCGAAACAGCAUCUUAUAUGAUAGAAUUAAGAUAUUCCAGCAAAGAAAAAAUACCUUAAUUGAAUCUAAGACUCUCCGAGGAUACUAGAGUAGUAUCUCCAAAAAGAAUCUGAAAUAAGACUCUUCAUAUUGAUGAAGCAACAUCUCAAACAAUAAAAAUGAGAUUCUCUGUAUCGAGUCGAAACAACAUCUUAUAUGAUAGAAUUAAGAUAUUCCAGCAAGGAAAAAAUACCUUAAUUGAAUCUAAGACUCCCCGAGGAUAUUAGAGCAGUAUCUCUACAAGAAAAAUCUGAAAUGAGACUCUUCAUAUUGAUGAAGCAGCAUCUCAAAUAGUAAAAAUGAGAUUUUUUGUAUCGAGUCGAAACGACAUCUUAUAUGAUAGAAUUAAGAUAUUCCAGCAAGAAAAAAUACCUUAAUUGAAUCUAAGACUCUCCGAGGAUAUUAGGGCAGUAUCUCUAAAAGAAAAUCUGAAAUGAGACUCUUCAUAUUGAUGAAGCAGCAUCUCAAACAGUAAAAAUGAGAUUCUCUGUAUCGAGUCGAAACAUCAUCUUAUAUGAUAGAAUUAAGAUAUUCCAGCAAGAAAAAAAUACCUUAAUUGAAUCUAAUACUCUCCGAGGAUAUUCGAGCAGUAUCUCUAAAAGAAAAUCUGAAAUGAGACUCUUCAUAUUGAUGAAGCAGCAUCUCAAACAGUAGAAAUGGGAUUCUCUGUAUCGAGUCGAAACAUCAUCUUAUAUGAUAGAAUUAAGAUAUUCCAACAAGGAAAAAAUACAUUAAUUGAAUCUAAGACUCUCCGAGGAUAUUAGAACAGUAUCUCUAAAAGAAAAUCUGAAAUGAGACUCUUCAUAUUGAUGAAGCAGCAUCUCAAAAAGUAAAAAUGAGAUUCUCUGUAUCGAGUCGAAACAUCACCUUAUAUGAUAGAUAUAAGAUAUUCCAGCAAUUAAAAAAUACCUUAAUUGAAUCUAAGACUCUCCGAGGAUAUUAGAGCAGUAUCUCUAAAAGAAAAUAUGAAAUGAGACUCUUCAUAUUGAUGAAGCAGCAUCUCAAAUAGUAAAAAUGAGAUUCUCUGUAUCGAGUCGAAACAACAUCUUAUAUGAUAGAAUUAAGAUAUUCUAGCAAGGAAAAAAAUACCUUAAUUGAAUCUAAGAUUCUCCGAGGAUACUUAGAGCGGUUUCUCAAGCAAAUAAAUGAGACUCUUCAGAUAAAUGAAGCGGUAUCUCAAACAAAUAAAUGAGAUUCUUCAGAUAAAUGAAGUAGUAUCUCAAAUGUUCGUCUGUUGGGGGAUUUUUUUUUUGAAAAGACUCCUUUUGGAGGAAAUAUAUUGGCAAAACUCUGCAGGGGAAAAGCUCAUAAGAGACUUUUUUAUGGUAACCUCUGCUUGGGAAACAAUGAUUGUAAAGAAAAAUGCUAGGAAUAUCAUUAUUAAUCAUAAAGUUGAAAAAUGAUUUGUUGAGAAAUAAUCCCACGAGCAUAUGCAGGGUAAUUACUUCAUUUGGAAAUGAGAAAUGUCUAAGAUACACAUGAAUGACCUUGGAUCCUGAUAUUUUAUAUUUGAUUUUUGUAUGACGUUCCACUUUAGGUGGGAAUUCCAUGCAUGGGAUGAUGCAUGAGAUGCAUGCAAGUAUGCAAUUGCCGGGGAUAUUUGGCUGGGCAUGUAGGAAUGCGAAUGAUUUUUUUAUUUUGUCAAAAUUCCAGUCUUGUGGGGAGUUUUUAUGCAUGCAUAUGUUGAUGAUUGGUAUGACUAUGUUAAUUUCCUGUUUGGUAGGAAGACCAUUUAUGAAUGAUUUAUAUGAUGCAUGUUAGAAUGCAAAUGGGUAAUUGGAUAUGCCCCGGUUAAGACGUUUUUGCUUUGGGGUAUGAUGCCAAUAAUGUGGAUUUUUGUUAUUUGGGGCGAUUAAUGAAGAUCAAGUUUUGAUGCCCCACUAGGUGAUUUUGGGAAUAUAUUUGGGUUGCUCCAAGUUACCGAGGGGUUCAAACUUCUCAACACGCGAUACUCCAUCUAUGAUUUAUCAAUGUUUCUGCUGGAAACGUAAUGGAGCCUUGCCCCAGUUUGGCUAUACCAUGAGUAUAUUUAUGAGAGGUGUGAAUUAAUGGUUGAAAGGAACAUAGGUAUCUGCAAACAGUCCUACACCUUUAUGAAAAACAAGAAUGAACUUGGAGACUAAAGGAUUUGUCCGCUUACUGUUUCAAAAGAAAUUUUACCACUUUAUUCAAACAUGUGUUUUAUUUUCUCCAAUAAUUUUUAAAAGUGAUGUUUAUCAAAAAUAAAAUAUGCUUUGCAAACAAACAGAUAAAAUACAAAAAAAUGAUUUGGGCAUAUUGUGUUGAGAAAAUAUCUCUUUUAUUGACUUGACCCUUAAAUGGGCGAUUGUACAUAAAGAUGCAAUUCCUUAAUGAGGUAAUUGUUGUGCAUAGAAACAAAAUGGCAAUGAAAAUUGAGUUCUUAUUGAGUUCCCACACUGCUAUGAUCUUUAUGUCUUUGAUAGUCCGAGCACUUUGCUUUUGAAAAGUAAGGUAGAUUGAUUCUUUGUCUUCGAGGGAUAUGUUAGACACCUGAAAGUACAACUCUUUGCCUUGGAAUUAAUCCCUAACUUUUGCAUGGACCGCCCUUUCGGGUUUUUGAUCCACUGGGAUACCCUUUUUUUGCCUGAAUCUGCCUUUCGGGUUUUCAACUCAGCGGGUCAAUUCUUUUACUUUUAUCCCUAAUUUUUGCCUGGAUCGCCCUUUCGGGUUUUCAAUCCACCGGGAUAGCCAUUUUUGCCUAAAUCUCCCUUUCAGGUUUUCGAUUUAGCGGCUUUUAUUAUUCCACUUUUUUUAGGCGAAGUACUUUUUAACAGCAUCAAUGUUGGUGGGAAGCGGCAACUCAUCACCAUCCAUAGUAGCUAGAAUCAGAGCGCCUCCGGAAAAGGCUCUAACCACCACAAAUGGACCUUCAUAGUUUGGUGUCCAUUUCCCUCUAGAGUCUUUGUGAAUAGGCAAGAUUUUCUUCAGCACCUAAUCUCCCUCUUGAAACACCCUGGGCAGAACUUUCUUGUCGAAUGCCUUCUUAAGACGCCUCUAAUAGAGUUGACCGUGACCUAAUGCUUUCAAGUGUUUCUCCUCAAUAAGGUUGAGCUCGUCGUACCUUGAUUGAACCCAUUCUGCCUCGUCUAGCUUAGCCUCCAUCAAGACUCUCAUUAAUGGGAUCUCCACUUCUAUAGGGAGAACUGCUUCCAUACCGUAUACCAAGGAAUAAGGGGUUGCCCCUGUUGAAGUUCGUACCGACGUGCGAUAACCAUGUAAUGCAAAAGGUAAUAUCUCAUGACAAUCCUUGUACGUGACAACCAUCUUUUGGAUGAUUUUCUUGAUAUUUUUAUUUGCAGCUUCGACAACCCCAUUCAUCUUAGGUCGAUAGGGUGAUGAGUUGUGAUGCUUGAUCUUGAACAUUGUGCAUAACUCCUCCAUGGUCUUUUUGUUGAGAUAGGACCCGUUAUCAGUGAUGAUUUUGUUGGGAAUCCCAUAUCGACAUAUGAUGUUGUUUUUUAAGAAACGGGCGACUACGUGCUUCGUCACAUCCGCGUAAGAUGCGGCUUCCACCCAUUUGGUGAAGUAGUCUAUGACCACCAAGAUAAAUCUGUAUCCAUUAGAUGCUUUGGGUUCUAUCAUCCUAAUCAUGUAGAUGCCCCACAUAGAGAAAGGCCAAGGUGAUGCUAUAACAUUCAACGGGGUAGGCGAUACAUGUAUUUUGUCAGCAUAGGUUUGGAAUUUGUGGCAUGUUCUGGUGUAAUGGUAACAAUCAUCUUCCAUCGUCAACCAGUAGUAACCUGCCCUUAGGAUUUUCUUCGCCAUGGCAUACCCAUUGGCGUGCGUACCGAAAGACCCUUCAUGUAUGUCCCUCAUAAGCUGAUCCGCUUCGUGUUUGUCCACACACCUUAAUAAAACCAUGUCAUAGUUUUGCUUAUACAACACCUCUCUGUUCAAAAGGAACUUUGAUGCCAUCUUCCGGAGGGUCCUUUUGUCAAGGAUGGAAGCCUCUGCCGGAUAUUCCCGCUUCUCCAGAUACCGUUUGAUAUCAAAGAACCGGGGUUUACCAUCUAGCUCUUCUGUUGUCGUCAGGCAAUGAGCAGGUUCGUCAAAACGCCUAAUUUCAAUGUGAGGCUGAUGGUUGGGCCAUAUAAAUUUGUACAUGGAAGCCCAAGUUGCUAAAGCAUCUGCCAUCUGAUUCUCUUCUCGAGGAAUAUGAGAGAAAGUGAUUUUGUCUAACUUUGGGAGUAGCUUCAGCACGUAAUCCUGGUAUGGAAUUAGGUUAGCAUGUCUUAUUUCCCACUCGCCUCUAAUCUAAUGUAUGACUAGCGCGAAGUCCCCGAAUACUUCUAGUACCUUGAUCUUUAACUCAAUGGCUUCUUCCAACCCUAAUAUGAAAGCUUCAUACUCGGCCAUGUUAUUUGUGCAGGUAAAAUAGAGCUUUGUGGUGAAUGGUAGAUGGAAAUUCUUGGGAGACAUCAUCACUGCCCCAAUUCCAUGGCCUAUUGCAUUUGAGGCACCAUCAAACAUGAGCGUCCAGCCUGCUCUUGACUCAAGACUUUUCUCUAGUUCGGAGUCUUCAACAUCCUUAACAACCAUGAUGUUCUCAUUUGGGAAGUCAAAUUUCAAAGAUUGGUAAUCUUCCAGUGGUUGGUGAGCAAGGUGGUAUGCUAAUAUGCUUCCUUUGAUCGCCUUUUGCGCACCAUAUUGGAUAUCGUAUUCUGACAACAACAUCUGCCACAGGGCAAUUCUACCAGUGAGAGUUGUUUUCUCGAAUAUGUACUUGAUGGGAUCCAUUUUAGACACCAACCAUGUCGUGUGAGUUAGCAUGUACUGCCUGAGACGCUUAACGGCCCAUGCGAGUGCACAACAAGUCUUCUUGAGUAAUCAAUAUCUGGUCUCACAAUCAUUAAAUUUCUUGCUCAGAUAAUAUAUGGCAUAUUCUUUUCUACCAGUCUCAUCUUGUUGUCCCAAUACACAACCCAUGGACUCGUCGAGCACAGUUAGAUAUAUGAUGAGAGGUCUCCCUUCUGCAGGGGGCAUCAGAAUUGGUGGCUCUUGCAAGUAUUCUUUAAUUUUAUCGAAGGCUAUUUGACAGUCAUCGUUCCACUCUACGCCUUGAUUCUUCCUCAUGAUCUUGAAUAUUGGUUUAUAUGUUGCAGUAAGGUGAGAGAUAAAUCUGGCGAUGUAAUUUAGCCUUCCCAAGAAACCAUGAACCUCCUUCUCAGUCCUUGGUGCAGGCAUGUUCUGAAUGGCUCGAACCUUGUCAGAAUCUACUUCAAUUCCUCUUUGGCUUACAAUAAAGCCUAAAAGCUUCCCAGAUCGAACCCCAAAUGUGCAUUUGUUAGGAUUAAGUCUUAACCUAAACUUCCUCAAACGAGCAAAUAGUUUCCCCAGGUUGGUGAUAUGUUCUUCUUCUGUAUGGGAUUUGGCAAUCAUGUCAUCGACUUACACCUCAAUCUCUUCAUGAAUCAUGUCAUGAAAGAGAGUCACCAUGGCACGUUGAUAUGUUGCCCCAACGUUCUUUAAUCCAAACGGUAUUACUUUGUAACAAAAGGUGCCCCAAGAGGUAAUGAAUGUGGUCUUCUCCAUGUCCUCGGGAUCCAUUUUAAUUUGGUUGUAUCCUCGAAGAGUCUUAGAUUCAAUUAAGGUAUCAUUCCCUUGUUCGGAAUAUCUUAAUUCUAUCAUAUAAGAUGUUGCUUCGACUCGAUACAGAGAAUCUCAUUUUCUUUACUGUUUGAGAUGCUGCUUCAUCAAUAUGAAGAGUCUCAUCCCAGAUUUCUCUAAGAGAUACUGCUCUAGUAUCCUUGAAAAGUCUUAGAUUCAAUUAAGGCAACAUUCCCUUGUUCGAAAUAUCUUAAUUCUAUCGUAUAAGAUGCUGCUUCGACUCGAUAUAGAGAAUCUCAUUUUCUUUACUGUUUGAGAUGCUGCUUCAUCAAUAUGAAGAGUCUCAUCCCAUAUUUCUCUAAGAGAUACUGCUCUAGUAUCCUCGAAGAGUCUUAGAUUCAAUAAAGGCAUCAUUCCCUUGUUCGAAAUAUCUUAAUUCUGUCGUAUAAGAUGCUGCUUCAACUCGAUAUAGAGAAUAUCAUUUUCUUUACUGUUUGAGAUGCUGCUUCAUCAAUAUGAAGAGUCUCAUCCCAAAUUUCUCUAAGAGAUACUGCUCUAGUAUCCUCGAAGAGUCUUAGAUUCAACUAAGGUAUCAUUCCUUUGUUCGGAAUAUCUUAAUUCUAUCGUAUUAGAUGCUGCUUCGACUCGAUAUAGAGAAUCUCAUUUUCUUUACUGUUUGAGAUGCUGCUUCAUCAAUAUGAAGAGUCUCAUUCUAGUUUUUUCUAGAGAUAUUGCUCUAGUAUCCUCGAAGAGUCUCAGAUUCAAUUAAGGUAUCAUUCCCUUGUUCGGAAUAUCUUAAUUCUAUCGUAUAAGGUGCCGUUUUGUCUCGAUACAGAGAAUCUCACUUUUACUGUUGAGAUGCUGCUUCAUCAAUAUGAAGAGUCUCAUGCCAAUUUUUUUUAGAGGUAUUGCUCUAACAUCCUGAAAAAGUAUUGAGAUUUAGCUGAGAUAUCAUUCCAUUACUAACGUAUCUCGAAUAUGACGUCCAAGAUACUGUUCCGACGACUCCCAGAAAGUCUUGGUUGUCCCAUUUUUUACAUUAGGAUAAUUUCUCUUACUAUUUCUCACUGCAUUUUCUUCCUGUAUUUUAUUCCUUUCAUUUCCUAAGAUAAAAUUUGAGUCUUUCUUGUAUUUAAUUAUCUCCCACCGUGAAUGUACGAAAACUGAUGUCAUUCAUACUUUCCGGUUCGAGGUAAUUAAAUAGGGGCAGCUGUCAUACCCCAAUUUCGUCUGGGUAAGAAAAAUCUUUCACAAGCAUUCACCAACCAGAAGUUAUAAGGCAUAAACUCUAUCUUAGGGUUUCUCAGCCCUAAGCUACUCCAAGCUCUCCAUCCUUCCUAAAGGCACAUUCAAUACUCACAUGAUCAUUAUAAAGAAAACCCUCAGUGGCAUUAAACUUUCAACAAAUCUUUCAGUGGCAUUUCAUCUGUUAAGUUCCUUGUUCAUGACCCAAGAAAACAUCUGUUGCGUUUGUCUCUUAUAGCUGUUACUAAAGCAUGGGAUGGUAUGCGCAUUUUGGGACUUGUUGGUUAUAAAAGGCCCAUUUUUGGUUUAUCCAUAAGACCUUUUGGUUUAAAAAGCCCACUCCUAUCAACAUAUUGAAAGUUCAAAGUAUAGUUCAAAUCUUUUUUUUUACACAUACUAAUCCAAGUCCACUCUCUUAUUAGAAAGUAUUAAAAGCCAUGUUAUUUUUUAUGAUCACUUGAUUAGCCCAAGUUUGCAAGCCCAUUUUCACAUCCCAAAUAUUUGUGCCAAAUUUUAAGUCCUUCAUAGGUCCCUAAAUUAAAUUUGCGUUAUAAAAGCCAUGUUAUUUUUUAUGAUCACUUGAUUAGCCCAAGUUUGCAAGCCCAUUUUCACAUCCCAAAUAUUUGUGCCAAAUUUUAAGUCCUUCAUAGGUCCCUAAAUUAAAUUUGCGUUUUUGAAGCAUGUAUGUGUUGGGUCUAAGCUAAGUCACCAUAUUUAGACUCAUGUUCCAAGAUCCUUUGUUGGUUUCGUGGUUGGAGUUGAACUUUCCAUGCUUAUGAUGUGCAUUUCAUCUUGUUCUUUUAGUUAUAUGAUUAUUUAGCCAAUAAUAAAUAUACUAAGGGAAACCAAUUUGAAUGUUCAUUCUUAUAUUUAUGGUGGUCCAAACAAGUUUUCAAAUGAAAUAUUAAGAUAAGAUUUGAGUGUUUAAAAAAAACUUGAUUACAUAAGCAAGUUCUAAUCUAGGAUAUUAUAAGAUAGUCCAAAGGUUAAUACACAUUAUCCAAAAAAUACAAAGUGUUACAAUUGAAUAAACAAGGUUAUGCUGCAUAUCCAGCUAUUGAAAACAGAGCCUUCAAAGAAACCAUUUCCAAAAGACCAUCCUUUGGAUUGAAGCACCCUAAACCAAAUUCCCUCAUGGAAUUGGUACAACAGUCGUCCGUUCCCACUUGAAAUUGGAUUUGCCUUUGUGACCUGCGAAGAAAUAAAAGCUUAAGUCAAAAGUCUUAUCAUAAGCACUUAAAACAAUGAAGAAUAAUUAAUAAUUAAUCAGGUAAAAGCUUUGCACAGAGGACCACAAUGAACGCCCAGAAAUGUAUUUCGCUACAAGUUCAACAGUAAUGAAUCCACAAAAUAAAAAUCCCACGAAAUCUAGGAUGAGCAAAAGAUAUCCUGACAGAUUAUCCUAGGAGUUACUAGCUCAUCAUGAAUAGGAUAAGCUACACGGUCUCACUAUUUGUUGAUACCUUAGGAUUGGCAUUAAUUUUAGAAAACAAAUAAUGUAUCCACCUCUGUUGUUUUAAUAUGUUGGGUUGAAGAAAUUCAACAUCUGGACCAACAUGUCAUGUACGAUGUCACGACGUCAGGUCUGUGACAUCGCACAUGUGCAGGAAACUGAAUUAAUCAAUUCAGUAUAUGUCAUGGGAUCAGCAAGGAUAUCUGGUGAAUAUCCUAACUCCCUUGUGAAGGCCUUGAAGACUAAUUCAGAAUAUAUAUAGGCUCUAAAUAUGAAGAUAUAUAUGGAGAGAGAUUAGGAACUUGAAGACCUUGUUUAUAGCAGAAUUUUUCUGCUGAAGUUGCAACAGCAAAGAACAAGUCUGCUGCAAUUUUCUGAAGGCCCAAAUCCAGUUGGGUGAUUAGGUUAUAAAUAGCUGAUUGUAAUCUAGUUUUUGUAAGCCUCUUAGAAUGAAUUUUUAGGGGUGUGUGUAAGGUAAACCUCCCAAUCUGUGGGAAGGUUACCAUGUGUUUCUCAGUGGUAAACCUGAGAGUGUUUGUUACUCAAAGCCUGUAGGCAAGAGUAAUUAUGUUCUUGAAUGAAGCUGUGAAGCAAGUUCAAGGUGUUUGCACAUUACAUUGUAUUUGUAGUGAUAGGAAUGGAAACUGGAGGUUUCUAUCUAGGAGUUCCUAGGUAUAGAUUGCAUUGGGUAGGGAUUAAGUGAUGAGUUGUAAACGGGGGAGUUUAACUCUGAAUUGAUACUACUAAUAGUGGAUCUUCUUCCUGGCUUGGUAGCCCCCAGAUGUAGGUCAUGUUGGACUGAACUGGGUUAACAAUUUCCUGUGUUUGUUUUCCUUCUGUAUGAUAUAAUCAUGUCUGCCAUAACUAAGCAUGUAUUCCAGUCUGUUCAUCAAGAUAAUAGCAGACCUGAUACAUAGCCUUCUGUUGGAAUGUCAAUCAGAAUGUUUUGACAUUCAUCAACAACAGCACAUACUGUUUAAUAAGCUGAUGAUUUCAGUUCAGUAUGUAGUGAAGUCUGGAGUUCAAAAGCAUAACAGACCUGGCCAAAAGAUCAUUGUGAAACUGUCAAACUGGAUGUCUUGACAGUUCUUCCAGUAAGCUGAUACUGAAGUAGAGACUGGUUGGUCUUUUACAGUACAGCAAAUUUAGCAGUCUGUGUUCAGGAACUAAACAGACUGAGCAUAUGGUUCUGGGCUUGGAUGUCAGACGGAAUGUUGUGACAUUCAUUCCUGACAGCAUAUGCUAUAUUGUUGGAUGGUUAGUUUUUCUGUUUCAGGAUUUUUCUCAGGCUAUUCUUCAGGAAUCCACCAGCUGAUCUAAAAUCUAGGAAACUAACAACUAAGCUACAAUUAAUGAACCUGGCAAAUAAUCUAUUUGUUAGCUCCUUAAUAAGUGGAGAUUAGUUUAACUUGUUACAACCUUUAAUUUAGGAAAUACAAGUACAUGACCAACAAACUGGAACAAUGUAACAGAUGAUGUUCAAAACAGGAUUGAGACAUCGUGCUGAUAUCUGUGUAGGAAAACAACAGAAGAGAAGGUUAUGGUGCACAUAACUAAGUGUUCCUCCUUUCUAGGAUGACAUAGAAGGAGAGGUCGUGACACUGUGAAAAGGUGCACAUUAGUACAGAGUGUAAUAACUGUCUUGCUGUAAUAAGUACAAUGUUAGAUCAGAUGUCAUGACUUGAAGUAGAACAUCUGAAUACUGACUACGCCAGAAUUUCAAUUGGUAUCAGAGCAGGCAUCCUGUUCUGUCUCUGGAUGAGAUCCAUGGGUGAUACUUUCUGGUAGCUGGCAAGGAGUUAUGUUAGUACUGAUGCUGGAACCUGUGUAAGGUUCUGUAAUUCCCUGAAUGGUCCCUUGAAGUAGGUGGAUGGACUGUUCAUGACAGGAAUGGUGUGUACCUGUCUCUGGAGGUUGGCAAUUGGCCUGUGUGUGGGACAGCUGUGCCAGUACUAAAUCACAUUCAAACCUGGUAUGGUCUUGGAGGCCAAUCUGGUGAAGUGUGUGUUCAUAGGUUGAGUUGUAUUAUGAUUUCCGCUGCAUAAUACAUGGCAAAACUCAAACUCUGAUGUAGUUUCCCCUCAUGUGGAUGAAAGGCUGCUGUGUUCAAGAUCUCAUCAUAAUCUACUGAAGAUGUCAAAGAUACUUGAGUCUCCUCAAGUCCACUCAUCAUGACGUUCUCACUUCAGGAUGGUAAGAGUCACUUAAUCACUGAUUCUCUUACUCUCUUGAGUAGUGUAUAUGAAGACCUUGAAGACCUUCAAGGAAGGUUUGUUCCAAGGAGGUGGAACCAAUGUUCUAUGUGAUGUUAGAACAUGUUGUUCAACAAGUAUGCAGCUACUGGUUGAAGAGCAGAUGUUUUUAGGGUUCAAACAAAGGGAUAAUUCUGUUUGGAACCUACUCCUGACCUGGAAGAGGAGACAUCUGUGUGUGCUAAGUUGACAAGAGCAGGGUCAACUGGGUGUGUGCUCAAGAAGGUCAUCCCUAGAAGUUGAGCUGGUUGAGAUGUGACAUUGUGCAAUCUCCUGCUGUUAGGCAUCUUCCUGCAGUUUGAUCAGGAUUGGAUAGUUGUUCCCUGAAGUACUAUGGUGUGUUGGAAGACAAGUCUCCUGGAUGUUAGCAGUCAAUAAUGGGGUAACCUGAUUGUGAUAUCAUUUAAGGGGGCUGGAACCAUGAAUCUUGUUAUUCAAACACCACGUUCAGAAGUGGCAGUUCUUACUAGGAGUGAGAAUAUGAAGAUUCAGAGGUUGGUUGAGGUAAUAUGCUCUGGCAAUGCAUAUCUACUAUUGACUGGUGUUGUUUGUCUCACUAGUACUUAUGGUCAGCUGAAGUCUGAUUGGUCUGAUUGGAGGAGUUAGUUGCCACUGGUAGGGAUAGUGUAUGUCAUGUUGAGACAUAUGUGUACAAUGCAUGGAUAUUGGUGUGGAGUAUCCAUGAUUGUUAAGUUGAGGGGGAGUUUUGGUUAACCUCCUCAAGUCUGGUCAGCCUAGGGUCUGGUUGGCUGUUGACCUGUGUCACAUGGGUUCUGGUGGUUGUGUGACACAUUUGCAAGGAAGAAUUCAUCUCUCUCAUUCCUAAGGGUGAAUUUAAUCUGGGAAGACUUUCAAAAUUGUCUAGGUGCUUGCAAGCAGAAGAUGUUGACACAAGAAGAGUAUUUUCAAAGUAUUCUUAUGGUGGAAGUAUCUGAAGGGAUGAUUGGGAAAGGAUUUAAGAUCAAUGUCUACUUGUGCCAAGUGCAAGUGUUUAAUUGAUUAUCCUUGGAGCUCAAGAUAACUGAUGUUCUUAAAGAUGUUGGAACAUCACUUCUUCAAGACCCUGUGCAGAAUCACAGGAAGGACAGUACAUUGGCUUAUGAUCUAUCUCUUUGGUGGCAGCAAAAGCAUAUGAUCUCUGAAAAGGUUUCCUGGCAAGAAACAUGUUCAGCCUUGGUAUGUACAAGAAGAAGAAGACAUCAUAGUCUUGAUGGUGGUUACUUGGAUCAGUUUAUUUCUGAUCUAGGUAAGGAAGUGCAUUAGCUUAUGCACACUGUGAAGUCAAGAACAAGUGGCAGCAGUCUUGACAUCAUGGAAACAGCCUUGCCUUAGGAUGUGGAAUCCUUGGUAGAGCUGAAGGGUUAGUUUCUAACUGGUCCUUCUGAAGACUCAUACAUCAGAGUGUCUGAUGUCUUUGGAGAAGAAGCAGGGAUUCAUCAAGGUGUGAGCUUGGAUGACUUAACUGCAAACCUGCAGGAUGGAGGUUGUUUACUCAAACUUGGUUCCACAAUCAAGUCUAUGAGAACAUUGAACUCUUGUUCUGUGAAGGGAGGAAGUUCUUUCAAGUGGCAGAAGAAGGAGCUGAAUUCAACAGCUAGAUGUCAAAACACAAUGUUGUGACAUUUGGUUCAACAUCAGACCCUUAGUUGGUGAUGUGGCACAUCAACUUGAGAUAGAAAGGUCUACAGGGUUGUAGAUUGGAUACUUCAAAAUCUUGAAGUUCUAGUCUCACUUGAGAGGUCAGAAUAUCUUAGGGAGAAGUCUGAUAAACUUGGGGAGGUCAAAAAGCAGCAUUUGACCUUUUCAUAUGAGAAUUCAUGAAGGAGGUAAUCAACCAGUGGCAGUUGGUCUAUCUCAGAAGUGAGUUCGAAGAAUCAAGAUAAUCAACAUAAGGCAGCUGAUUAUUCUUGAGGAAAGUCUGAGACAAAUUACUUUUGAGCAGAAAAGUAUUAAGUUGAAGACAAAAGGAGGUGUUUUCUAUUCAUCCCUUGGAGCUUGUGGUAGGAGUUCUGAGCCAUCUAUGGAAGAUUAUCUCAUGUAAUGGGAUGAAAAGGUAUAUGUCCCAAUUUAUGUCUGGAUUCUUCUUGAUCAAGCUGGUGACUCAGUGAUAUCUGAAGACUAUCAGAUGGUGUUCCCUGUUAUGUGUGAAGGAUGUCCUAACGAAUGUUAGAACAUUUUGUGAAGUGGCUUUCUGUUCUGGUUAGAAGAGAGAUUGACACAGGGUGUGGAUGUGUUCAACCAAGAGGGUUGAACAGAGGGUGCGCUCUUGAAGACAUGAAGAUGAGUCUUAUGUUUUCCAUUCAUCAAGUGGGUUGAGUUCUUUUUGAAUCAGGAAGAAGGUGAAGGUCCAACCAUGUUGGAUAUGUGUGACCUCCAAGAGAGUAGGUUGUCCAUGACAGGGGGAGUUGUGCCUUUGUGCUGCAAGCAAUCACCAAGCUUGUGGUCUAUGUGUUCUCAGAUGACUAGGUAGUUAUCAGGAUGCUGUGAUGUAUGUCAAGGCUGAGUGAGCAGAAGAAUGUCUGACCGGAUGUCAUGACAUUGCCCUGGACAUUGCUGUUAAUUCCUUCUGAAUCUUAAAGUCAUUAGGAAUUAUGAGGGUGAUGUGGCUAAGUCUGAUAAACCAGAAUAAGCCUGAUGGCUACAGCUGUGUGGUACAGGGGGAGUAACCAUCAACUGAAGUGUGAAAAGUUGGCUGUAGCAGUGCUAGGUGUCAAGUCUCUACUGGAGGUAUGACAGAGGUCUUGUUGAAUACUGGCUGAAUGCAGGAAUGUUAAGACAUCGCGUGCAACGUGUCUGACUGCAUAUAUGGAAUGGUCUCCAUGCACUGGAACGGCUGUUUUGGAAAAGAAACAGUCAAGAGCUAUAAAAGGUAUUCAAAGAUAGUCUGAGAUUUUGUUGGUGAUUCUCUGACUGUUUCUCAGCAAAAAUAAAUGCAUCUUGACCAAGCAUUUAUUUCUACCGGAAAUUCCUAGGCACGGGCAGAAACACUCUUCUCCCCACAACAGAAACACUCCAAUCUCAGAAUCAUGGGGUAUGUUAAGGUCUGGGCAAGCUGCGCCUGGAUCUGGUUUUGUGAAGGGUGCCUUUACAAAUGUUUAGCUAAAAAGGGGGAGAGAAAGAAACAUAGUCCUAUAGUCCUGGGGUCGAGAAGCAAACAGAUCACUGUGGUAGAAAACAGAAAGUUGGGGUUGGGGUUAGACACAAAAUUCACCAACUGAAUUACCACUUGUGUCUUGUGAUCUGAGUUAAGAGGGCAGUUGUGCCUUGUAAUCUGAGUUACAUCAUUCGUGUACUCAGCAUUACAUAUUCUUCCGGAAGCUCUCCUGUUGAAGGGAAGGGUUCUGGUACAACUGACCCGUGUACCUCAUCUUCCUCAUGUACACCAACAUUGGUGUUCAUGGUGGGGGGAGAUAAUAAUAGAGGCUUAUUUGUUUUAGCUAAAAUUUGCCAAAGGGGGAGAUUGUUGAUACCUCAGGAUUGACAUUAAUUUUAGAAAACAAAUAAUGUAUCCACCUCUGUUGUUUUAAUAUGUUGGGUUGAAGAAAUUCAACAUCUGGACCAACAUGCUCAUGUUACGAUGUACGAUGUCAGUGUCUGAUGACCAGAUCGCACAUGUGCAGGGUUAAACUGAAUUAUCAAUCAGUUAUAAUAUGUCAUGGGAAUCAGCAAGUGGGGAUAUUGGUGAAUAUAUCUUAACUCCCUUGUGAAGGCCUUUGAAGACAUUCAGAUAUAUAUAGGCUCUAAUAUGGAGAUAUAUAUGGAAGAGAUUAGGAACUUGAAGACCUUGUUUAUAGCAGAAUUUUUCUGCUGAGUUGCAACAGCAAGAACAAGUCUGCUGCAAUUUUCUGAAGGCCAAAUCCAGUUGGUGAUUAGGUUAUAAAUAGCUGUUGUAAUCUUAGUUUUUGUAGCCCACUCUUAGAAUGAAUUUUUAGGGGUGUGUGUAAAAGUAAACCUCCCAAUCUGUGGGAAGGUUACCAUGUGCCUCUCAGUGGUAAACACUGAGAGUGUUUGUCACAUCAAGCCGUUGUAGGCAAGAGUGAUUAUGUUCUUGAUAUGAUUGUGAAGCAAGUUCAAGGUGUUUGCACAUUACAUUGUAUUGUAGUGAUAGGAAUGGAAACUGGAGGUUUUCUAUCUAGGAGUUCCUAGGUAUAGAUUGCAUUGGGUAGGGAUUAAGUGAUGAGUGUAACGGGAGUUUAACUCUGAAUUGAUACUAAUAGUGGAUCUUCUUCCUGGCUUGGUAGCCCCAGAUGUAGGUCAUGUUGGACUGAAUGGGUUAACAAUUUCUGUGUUUGUUUACUACUGCAUGUUAUUAAUCAUGUCUGCCAUAAUCAGUUGUUGUUACAGUCUGCCAAUCAAGUUAAUAACAAACCUGAUACAUAGCCUUCUGUUGGAAUGUCAAUCAGAAUGUUUUGACAUUCAUCAACAACAGCACAUACUGUUCAAUAAGCUGAUGAACUCAGUUCAGUAUGUAGUGAAGUCUGGUUUUAACAAGCAUAUCAGACCUGGCCAAAAGAGCAUUGUGAAACUGUCAAACUGGAGGUCUUGACAGUUCUUCCAGUAAGCUGAUACUGAAGUAGAGACUGGUUGGUCUUUUACAGUACAUCAAAUUUAGCAGUCUGUGUUCAGGAAUUAAACAGACUGAGCAUAUGGUUCUGGACUUGUAUGUCAGACGGAAUGUUGUGACAUUCAUUCCUGACAGCAUAUGCUAUAUUGUUGGAUGGUUAGUUUUUCUGUUUCAGGAUUUUUCUUAGGCUAUUCUUCAGGAAUCCACCAGCUGAUCUAAAAUCUAGGAAACUAACAACUAAGCUACAAUUAGUGAACCUGGCAAAUAAUAUAUUUGUUAGCUCCUUAAUAAGUGGAGAUUAGUUUAACUUGUUACACCUUAUCAAGGAAAUACAGUAAUGACCAACAAACUGGAACAAUGUAACAAGUGAUGUCCAAAACAAGAUUGAGACAUCGUGCUGAUAACUGUGUAGGAAAACUACAGUAGUGAAGUUAUGGUGCACAUAACUAAGUUUCCUUCUCUCUAGGAUGACAUAGAAGGAGAGGUCGUGACACUGUGAAAAGGUGCACAUUAAUACAGAGUGUAAUAACUGUCUUGCUGUAAUAGGUACAAUGUUAGAUCAGAUGUCAUGACUUGAAGUAGAACAUCUGAAUACUGACUAUGCCAGAAUUUCACUAUUAGUACCCAGAGAUAACAUUGAGUAAAAAAAACCGUUAAUUUUCGGCAAGAAAUCAAAAUAACCUUUCAUCAACACAACCAUCUAAAAGCGCUCAAAGGUAAAGAAGAACAGAGGAAGACGAAAAGAGUUAAAAAGUUAGGAGGAAACUUAUCUUGAAUGCCGUGGAGAAGACGUCGCUGACGACCUACUUCCGAUCAAGUAUACCCCUUCUUUCUCCUUCGCUUAAAAUAUUUGCAUCAUUUUAUUCGCCUCGACGAGCUGACCAAAACCCCCAUAACAAUUGCUUGAAAUCUCCCCCAUGUAGCUUCAUUUGCAGAGUUAGGGUUUGACCUUGAAUGUUUAUAUUUAAUUUGUUUUUGUGUUCGUUUGGCUUGAGAAGCAUAUUUAUAUGGUUUGGUUUGUGAAAAUUUUCGUUUAGGUUUUUGUGUGUGAUUUAAGAUCUCCGAUCUGAGACACUGGUUAGCCUUUUGUUAUUUUCGUGACCGGAUCUGUGAUCGUGAGGUUAGAAUAUGUAGAGUUGGUGUUUGGAGUUUAGAGUUUGGGGUAGAGGUUCACCGGAGAAGAAGGUUGCGCUGUCGCCGUUGGUCGGCCACCACCGUCUUCUCCGACAGGUCGCGACCGGAGGGAUGGUCGGAAAUUGCAGAGCAAUUUCUUUUCUUUUCAAGUGAAGAGAGAGAAG